rnacentral:rRNA from 1 species
GAUAAACGCUGGCGGCGUGCCUAAUACAUGCAAGUCGAGCGAACAGACGAGGAGCUUGCUCCUCUGACGUUAGCGGCGGACGGGUGAGUAACACGUGGAUAACCUACCUAUAAGACUGGGAUAACUUCGGGAAACCGGAGCUAAUACCGGAUAAUAUAUUGAACCGCAUGGUUCAAUAGUGAAAGACGGUUUUGCUGUCACUUAUAGAUGGAUCCGCGCCGCAUUAGCUAGUUGGUAAGGUAACGGCUUACCAAGGCAACGAUGCGUAGCCGACCUGAGAGGGUGAUCGGCCACACUGGAACUGAGACACGGUCCAGACUCCUACGGGAGGCAGCAGUAGGGAAUCUUCCGCAAAGGGCGAAAGCUUGACGGAGCAACGCCGCGUGAGUGAUGAAGGUCUUCGGAUCGUAAAACUCUGUUAUUAGGGAAGAACAAAUGUGUAAGUAACUAUGCACGUCUUGACGGUACCUAAUCAGAAAGCCACGGCUAACUACGUG